UUCCAGCAGAAUAGGUGAAAGUUGAUGAUGGUGAAGUGGAACCAAGUAGAGAUAUUCAAGCAGAAUUGGAGAAAGACCAAGAUUUGAAGCCAAUAAUUGAUUUUCUACAAGCAAGUGUUUUGCACCCUGCUUGGGAGAAGGUGUCUAGCUUAAGCCCUGU